CCUAAACAAGCACGGGGGCUCUAGCAGACAAUGAGAGCUGCCUGCAACGCAACUUGCUCUGUGCCUUUGCUUUCAGUUGCAAGGUGAAAUGGUGAAGAAGUGUGCCUUUCCAUCUGACCUAAGGAACCGGUUCUCUUAUUUCCUCUCUUGAGAAGGAUGAUAAAGCUACCGGGAGAGAUAGAUGAAGAUGAGUGGAAGGUUUAGGAAGGAGGAGAAAGGCAUUUUUCCUCACUCAGCCCAGCUUGUGCUCUAACAGCAGGAUCUCUGGGAGAAGCCAGGAAGACUGUGGUGAACUCCAGGUUGUAACGAAAAUGUCAUUGGCUCUUUAAUGUCCUAAUGGAGCAGACAAGGCCCCACGUUUUAACAUUUUCCCCAAAAGGACACCAGCAGCUAUUGGUUACAGAACUGAAGACAUCUCGAGUGCAGAAAGAUGAAAAGCUGAGUUAAUGCUGUGGGCUUGCUGAGUUUUUAGUUCAGGCAGAGAGAUCCUACCAGGAUAGGUGCCUGGAUCACACAGCAUGCCCUGCAGGUGGAGAAGCCAUUGAAGUGUGAAACAACAGUGACUGUUCCUUCCACAGAACACACGAAGCCAUUACUUUUUCUCACAUCUUGUCAUAGCAGCAGCCCCUUCCAUUGGUACCCCAAGGCUGCAUCCUCAUGGCAGGCAGAAA